rnacentral:rRNA from 1 species
AGUGAACGCUGGCGGUAGGCCUAACACAUGCAAGUCGAACGGCAGCACAGGAGAGCUUGCUCUCUGGGUGGCGAGUGGCGGACGGGUGAGGAAUACAUCGGAAUCUACUCUGUCGUGGGGGAUAACGUAGGGAAACUUACGCUAAUACCGCAUACGACCUACGGGUGAAAGCAGGGGACCUUCGGGCCUUGCGCGAUUGAAUGAGCCGAUGUCGGAUUAGCUAGUUGGCGGGGUAAAGGCCCACCAAGGCGACGAUCCGUAACUGGUCUGAGAGGAUGAUCAGUCACACCGGAACUGAGACACGGUCCGGACUCCUACGGGAGGCAGCAGUGGGGAAUAUUGGACAAUGGGCGCAAGCCUGAUCCAGCCAUGCCGCGUGUGUGAAGAAGGUCUUCGGAUUGUAAAGCACUUUAAGUCGGGAGGAAGGGCUGUAGGUUAAUACCCUGCGGUUUUGACGUUACCGACAGAAUAAGCACCGGCUAACUUCGUGCCAGCCGCCGCUGUAA